GACGAACGCUGGCGGCGUGCUUAACACAUGCAAGUCGAACGGAAAGGCCCUGCUUGCAGGGUACUCGAGUGGCGAACGGGUGAGUAACACGUGGGUGAUCUGCCCUGCACUUCGGGAUAAGCCUGGGAAACUGGGUCUAAUACCGGAUAGGAGCCAUUUUUAGUGUGAUGGUUGGAAAGUUUUUUCGGUGUUGGAUGAGCUCGCGGCCUAUCAGCUUGUUGGUGGGGUAAUGGCCUACCAAGGCGGCGACGGGUAGCCGGCCUGAGAGGGUGGACGGCCACAUUGGGACUGAGAGACGGCCCAGACUCCUACGGGAGGCAGCAGUGGGGAAUAUUGCACAAUGGGCGCAAGCCUGAUGCAGCGACGCCGCGUGGGGGAUGACGGCCUUCGGGUUGUAAACUCCUUUCGCUAGGGACGAAGCUUUUUGUGACGGUACCUAGAUAAGAAGCACCGGCUAACUACGU
rnacentral:rRNA from 1 species